rnacentral:lncRNA from 1 species
GACAAAGUAUAUGCUGCAGUGCUGCAGCUGGAGACACAAGCUGGUUCCUUGCCCAGGGAGCACUGGGGAGUAGCGCAAGGGAAAUCGUAGAGGAGGCCCCAUGGGGAUCUUUGUUGCAUGAGCAUCCACACUCCCAGCCUGAGCAAGAUGCCUUGUGGUGCUUUAGACCGGAGCUCAGAGACCCCAGGGCCCAGGACUCAGACUACCAGCCACUUCGUGCAGUGGCCCAAACUCCAUCAAGGGGUGACACAUCUGGACGCCUCUGCAGAAGGUGGAGCACACCCCAAGACUGUGGGAGCAGUGCAGGAAAGCUGCAGAGGAGCACUGCUGACCUGUCCUACAGAACACAGGGAGCUCCUGCUAGUGCUGCUCAUGACUGCAAGGCAUUGGAAUGCUGGAGCCCAUCUG